rnacentral:rRNA from 1 species
GUUGAACGCUUGCGGCAUGCCUGACACAUGCAAGUCGAGCGAGCGGCGGACGGGUGCGUAAUGUAUGGGGACUGCCCGAUAGAGGGGGAUAACUACUGGAUACGGUCGCUAAUACCGCAUACAAUCGGAUAACCCAUAUGGGAUUAGCUAGUAGGUGAGGUAAUGGCUAACCUAGGCGACGAGCCCUAGCUGGUCUGAGAGGAUGAUCAGCAACACGUGGACUGAGACACGGCCCAGACUCCUACGGAGGCAGCAGUGGGGAAUAUUGCACAAGGGGCGAAAGCCUGAUGCAGCCAUGCCGCGUGUAUGAAGAAGGCCCUAGGGUUGUAAAGGAGUUUCAGUCGGGAGGCGUUACCGACAGAAGAAGCACCGGCUAAUUCCGUGCCAGCAGCCGCGGUAAUAC